UACGUAGGGGGCAAGCGUUGUCCGGAAUUAUUGGGCGUAAAGAGCGCGUAGGCGGUUUGUCGCGUCUGCUGUGAAAACUCGGGGCUUAACUCCGGGCCUGCAGUGGGGACGGGCAGACUAGAGUGCGGUAGGGGAGACUGGAAUUCCUGGUGUAGCGGUGAAAUGCGCAGAUAUCAGGAGGAACACCGGUGGCGAAGGCGGGUCUCUGGGCCGUAACUGACGCUGAGGAGCGAAAGCGUGGGGAGCGAACAGG
rnacentral:rRNA from 1 species